AAUAGAGUGAGCCUGUGUC
rnacentral:piRNA from 1 species